rnacentral:rRNA from 1 species
ACUCGAGUGGCGAACGGGUGAGUAACACGUGGGUGAUCUGCCCUGCACUUCGGGAUAAGCUUGGGAGACUGGGUCUAAUACCGGAUAGGAGCCAUCUUUAGUGUGGUGGUUGGAAAGUUUUUCGGUGUAGGAUGAGCUCGCGGCCUAUCAGCUUGUUGGUGGGGUAAUGGCCUACCAAGGCGGCGACGGGUAGCCGGCCUGAGAGGGUGACCGGCCACAUUGGGACUGAGAUACGGCCCAG